rnacentral:rRNA from 1 species
ACUACGGGAGGCAGCAGUCGGGAAUAUUGCGCAAUGGAGGAAACUCUGACGCAGUGACGCCGCGUGCAGGAAGAAGGUUUUCGGAUUGUAAACUGCUUUAGACAGGGAAGAAAAGAGACAGUACCAGUAGAAUAAGCUCCGGCUAAAUACGUACAAGCAGCCGCGGUAAUACGUAGGGAGCAAGCGUUAUCAGGAUUUAUUGGGUGUAAAGGGUGCGUAGAUGGAGAAGCAAGUUAGUUGUGAAAUCCCUCGGCGUAACCGAGGAACUGCAACUAAAACUACUGCCCUUGAGUACGGGAGAGGAAAGUGGAAUUCCUGGUGUAGCGGUGAAAUGCGUAGAGAUUAGGAGGAACACCAGUGGCGAAGGCGACUUUCUGGACAGUAACUGACGUUGAGGCACGAAAGCGUGGGGAGCAAACAGGAUUAGAUACCCUUGUAGUC